GACGAACGCUGGCGGCGUGCUUAACACAUGCAAGUCGUACGGUAAGGCCCUUUCGGGGGUACACGAGUGGCGAACGGGUGAGUAACACGUGAGUAACCUGCCCACAACUUUGGGAUAACGCUAGGAAACUGGUGCUAAUACUGGAUAUGUGCUCCUGCUGCAUGGUGGGGGUUGGAAAGCUCCGGCGGUUGUGGAUGGACUCGCGGCCUAUCAGCUUGUUGGUGGGGUAGUGGCCUACCAAGGCGGCGACGGGUAGCCGGCCUGAGAGGGUGACCGGCCACAUUGGGACUGAGAUACGGCCCAGACUCCUACGGGAGGCAGCAGUGGGGAAUAUUGCACAAUGGGCGCAAGCCUGAUGCAGCUACGCCGCGUGCGGGAUGACGGCCUUCGGGUUGUAAACCGCUUUCAGCAGGGACGAAGCUUUUUGUGACGGUACCUGCAGAAGAAGCACCGGCUAACUACGUG
rnacentral:rRNA from 1 species